CAGGAGAUAGUUUAUAAAAAUAUUAAUUUUGGAGAUUAAAGUAGGGAUUACCCCUUUUCUGA
rnacentral:tRNA from 2 species